rnacentral:lncRNA from 1 species
AAGACCCAUCUCUAGGGAAGAACAUCAAGGCCUCCUCACGGAGAAGAACGGUUCCUUUGUAUCCUUACCUGUGUUGACUUUGGAUCUCGUGUAUCUCUUAUGUGUGUGGUCAUCUAGCACUUGUGUGAUCGAUUCCUUGUUGGUUUAGUGAUUCUCUCUCUCGUUUUCCCCGUGUUUCCCUUUGUGCUUCCGCGUGCUCUUCGUGAUUCCCCGUACGAUCCACUCCAAACGUGAAAGAUCUAUAGGGUCCCACCCUACAUCAGAUGACACGGGUCAUAAUAUGCACAUGAGCUGAAUAACAGGUCUUGAGAAGGUACAAAAAGGUAGGAUCCAAAAGGUGUGAAACUUUGAGGUGUUUUUUUGUAGAGCAACACAGCAAAGGGGUUCCCCUCCAUUCAAUUGUAACAUCGAUGGUAAGCUGAAUAACAAUUUAAACAUAGGGUCUGAUAUGAAUGAUAUUGCCUUAAAUUGAACAAAGCAUCUCAUGAAGGAAACUAUAUAUUUACCUCGUCUCUUUCUAUUUUUUUCAAGGGAAAAGUGAUCUACAGACAACGCUUCCCUUCCCUGUUUCUUUAGAAGAUGCACACAAUCUGUCGAUGAUAGGUGAUCAAAAGUUUAGAAUGUAGAUACGUUAAAAGAUACUGCUAAACAUAGAACAUGUGACAUGAAAAAUACAAUACCCAUUGUGUUUGUUCAUGGCUGCAGAGGGGUGUGUGGAGGUGUUUUCUCUGAUGGAGCUAUCCUAUGGGCAUCACUCAUCAACGAGAACCAUGUGUAUAAGCUUGACGGGGCCAAUUUCAAGACCACCACGAUAAUGCCACAGGAGAGAUACACGGACGCAGAGUCUGGCCACCCAAUCCAUGCUGUAGAGCGGAUAGUCCAAUGCAUUUCCUUUGGAAAAAACACACGAAAUAUUAUAACUACAUUUGAUCGGUAGUGACUCCUCAUAUAAGAACUAAAUCUGGGGAAAUGUUUCAAUAAAUAGGCGCUUGUAGUGACUCCUGAUAUAAGAACUAAAACUUUUCUAGCCUUCAACUAAAUGUACUAUUUCAGAAUUGAAAGAUUGCACAUGAGAGGAUGUAAGAGGCACAAGCACCUCUGUCAAGACCAAAAGCAAACACGUAAAAGGCGUAUCAAACAGUUCAUAGGUGUCCCAGUUCAUGGAUACAUUGCUGCAACAGAUAGCAACAUAAACGAUCCAGCAAUCGGUAACUCUAUCAAGCAAAUGAAGCAAAUGCUUCACAUUACACCUAAUCGUAUUUAAAUGCUAGAUCUAAAUAGCUGGAUACGAAAGAGAAGUAAAAGAAAGCAACACAUAUGGCCGUUUGAAGGAGGCGAAAGAGAAGUAAAAGAAAGCAACACAUAUGGCCUUUUGAAGGAGGCAAGUAGAUCAAUGCUACCUCUGAAUAUAAAAUUAGGCAUACUAGGACAACAUAUGUAUAUGGAAAAUUGAGAGAUCAGCCAAAAUGAAAAGGUUUAAUCUGUAUAGAACACUAAUUAGAGCAUGUGAGUUCAGAGCAAGAGCCUAACACCAAAUGAACACAUCAUGAUUACAGUGGACGAACAGUUCAUCCAAAAUUCUAGUGCGCGUGCAAACUUACAACAACUUCCUGCUUGAUUUCAGUAGCCUCAUCGAUCUUUCCAUGCUCCUCUGUGAUUUCAGCAAUUUCC